rnacentral:rRNA from 2 species
UUCGCAAUGCCCGAAAGGGUGACGAAGCGACGCCGCGUGGGUGAGGAAGGUCCUCGGGUUGUAAAACCCUGUCAGGAGUUAAGAAAUGUAAGUGCGCUAAUAUCGCAUUUAUUUGACGAAGGCUCCAAAGGAAGCCACGGCUAACUCUGUGCCAGCAGCCGCGGUAAUACAGAGGUGGCAAGCGUUGUUCGGAAUUAUUGGGCGUAAAGAGCACGUAGGUGGAUUUGUAAGUCAGAUGUGAAAGCCUUCUGUUCAACGGAAGAAUUGCAUCUGAAACUGCGAGUCUUGAGUGCAGGAGGGGAGAAUGGAACUUCUGGUGGGGCGGUGAAAUGCGUAGAUAUCAGAAGGAACGCCGGCGGCGAAAGCGAUUCUCUGGCCUAUUACUGACACUGAGUGUGCGAAAGCUAGGGGAGCAAACGGGAUUAGAUACCCCGGUAGUCCUAGCCGUAAACGAUGGGCACUAAGUAGAGGGGUUUU